rnacentral:rRNA from 1 species
GAUCCUGGCUCAGGACGAACGCUGGCGGCGCGCCUAACACAUGCAAGUCGAACGAGCGAGAGAGGGCUUGCUUUCUCGAGCGAGUGGCGAACGGGUGAGUAACGCGUGAGGAACCUGCCUCAAAGAGGGGGACAACAGUUGGAAACGACUGCUAAUACCGCAUAAGCCCACGACCCGGCAUCGGGUAGAGGGAAAAGGAGCAAUCCGCUUUGAGAUGGCCUCGCGUUCGAUUAGCUAGUUGGUG